GCGGGNGUAGUUUAGUGGUAAAACUACAGCCUUCCAAGCUGUUGUCGCGAGUUCGAUUCUCGUCACCCGCU
rnacentral:tRNA from 1 species